UUACACUUUCUACUCAAAAAAUCAAUCUACAAUCUCUAUUUGUUUCUUUGUGUUAUUGUGUGAUCUUUGAAAAUGGCGAAUUACCAGAACCAAUAUGGUGCAACGGCCCAAUCUACAAAUGAUUACGGGAACCCACUCACCAACUACACCGGAUCAGAGCCCCAAUCUACAAAUGAGUACGGGGCUACAGAUGAGUAUGGGAACCCAGUCACCACCUACACCAGAUCAGAGCCCCACUAUACAGAUGAGUAUGGGAACCCAGUACGCGAAAGGGGGAUGAUGGACAAGAUCAAGGAGAAGCUCCCAGGUACUCAUGACCCCUACUCAUCUCAUUCUCAGACAACCUACCCCACUGCACGUUACGGUGAAACCGGCUACACUGGAUUGGAGCAGCACCAUGGGAUGAUGAACAAGAUGCCAGGUACUGACCCCUACUCAUCUCAUUCUCAUACAACCGGCACCACUGCACCUUACGAUGGAACCGGCUACACCGGAACAGAGUACCGCCAGCACAAGGGCACGAUGGACAGGAUCAAGGAUAAGCUGACUGGGACUGGUGGACAUAGGGUGGAUGAUCCCUACUCAUCUCAUUCUCAUAAAACCGCCACCACCACACCUUACGGUGGCACCACCACCACAGCUUACGGUGACAGCACCACCACACCUUCACCUUACGGUGGCACCACCACCACACAUUCACCUUACGGUGGCACCACCACCACAGCUUACGGUGACACCACCACCACACCUUCAGCUUACGGUGGCACCACCACCACACCUUCAGCUUACGGUGGCACCGCCACCACCACCUACCCCCGUGAAAAGAAGGGCAUCAUGGACAAGAUCAAAGAGAAACUUCCUGGUGGACAUCAUUAUUAAUAAUAGGGUUAUGUAAGAGAUAGAUACGUUAGGUAUCGUUUUGUGUUCAAUGUUUUAGUAUGACGUGUAUAAUAAGCGGUG
rnacentral:lncRNA from 1 species